rnacentral:sRNA from 1 species
UGAUGAGAUCACCAUCUUCCAACGGUGGC